CGGGGUGAGUAACGCGUGGAUAACCUGCCUCAUACAGGGGGAUAACAGUUAGAAAUGACUGCUAAUACCGCAUAAGCACACGGGAGCGCAUGCUUCCGGGUGAAAAGCUCCGGCGGUAUGAGAUGGAUCCGCGUCUGAUUAGCUGGUUGGCGGGGUAACGGCCCACCAAGGCGACGAUCAGUAGCCGACCUGAGAGGGUGGCCGGCCACAUUGGGACUGAGACACGGCCCAAACUCCUACGGAAGGCAGCAG
rnacentral:rRNA from 1 species